UGCUCUUACUUCUUUCUGGUAAUAUAAUAAAGCAAUUCCCAGUUAUGAAAAACGUGACUGUUUGUGACCACGAUGAGGUAUGCCAGGAGGUACAGCCCUCAGUACAUAUACAGAGAGCACUGGCCAGACAAGCUCUCGUUCCGCCCAGCAGGCAGUCUGACCUCAGAUGAGAUUCACACGCCACCCCAUGCAGCAGCAUCCUGCAGGAUUAUGUAUCUUUCUGGAGAUGCAUUUUUCUGCCACCUCGAAUGACCACAUCAAUAGCCACAUAGCCUGAGAGGCAAACUCCCCCAAACAAUUCCCUUUGCAUAAAGGGAAAAGUAAUUGAUUACACAAAUACAAGGCACAGUGAAUCACCCCAGCGUGACUACUGAUCCAUGUCAAAAAAACAGUGCUAGUUUCAAAGGCCCUCUUCUGCCACCCUUCCACUGAAUAAUUUGAUGGAAAAAACUUGACAUGUCACAGCACAGUAUUUCUGAUGCUAAUUCAUGUGUCUUUUUCUCCCCCUACUAAAAUUCACGGAAGCAGAAGAUUGUCACAUUUUUUUUAAGUGGGAGAUGCUAAGAACUGGGUUGCAACUCUCUGGUAAACCUGGAAAACAAGGCAAGGGGCCAGCUCCUCUGUGUGCAAACCCCCAGUGACUCAACUGAAGCAUGCAUAGAUGAGGUGAGAACCAAGAAGAGAAUUGGAUAAGCCCAUUCCAGCUGUGUACAGCCAGAUCUGUAAACAGAUAAACUGGUCACUAUUUUUGAAGCAGAACAUUAUCAUCUCAGUAAAGCAGCAGUAUGACUCUAUGCAUUCAAUGUUUUAAUUCUCAAAGCUAGGGUAAAAGCACAUGAAAUUUACAAAAAUAGCUCUUAACUGCUUGGAAAGGACAACUCCAAGGCUGCCUGGGCAACCUUGCUUGUAUAAAAAAAUCAGUGGCUGGACACUGUAACAUGCUAUUUCCUUAUAAUGCAGUUUACUAUCAGCUUCAGAUCCUUCCAUUCUGCCUCAAAUACCCAUAUGCUGACACGGCAUAUAUGUGGUUUACAUGUACGUUUUAUUUAGCACAGAACAAGGCACAGCACUGCAUUUAACAUUCAGUUUUAACAUUGUAUAUACACAAACACAGAUGCAGAUAACUUUGAGAAAUCAAGUACACACGUGAAAGGAGGUUUUUUUAAUACUCUCACAAGCAUUUCUCACCAUUACAGGAAUCCCUUCCCAAGACCCCCUAGUAGCAUCAGCACAAGUCCAAAAGGCCAGACGAAUGAGGCCCUCGCUCCCCCUGCACACCAGGAAGAACUUGCCCCAACACUCCAUAAUAAGGAUAAGCUUUUGCCUUUAAUUCAACAGUCACCAGGGCUACAGCUUACCACAGGAAGACAACAGAAGAGAUCAAGGGCAUCCCCAGAGACUUUGUUAGGCGAAAAAAGUGCACAAGGUUACUCAAACAUUUUGUGGACUUAAGAGUUCUGUUGGCAUCCUCAUACAGUGUCAUAUAUUUAAGUGUACACAUAAAAAUCCAAAUACAGUGAUAAUCCUGCCAGGAGUUCCAUGCAAACAGCUCUCUGAAAGCAAUGUCAAUUCCUCCUAUGUGCAAGGCCUUGCCUAUACAGGGCUCUCUGCAGGAUUAGGACUGUACACUAUGUACAUAUAUGCUGUUAAAGUGUGUUUACAUAAUAUGUAAAUAGAUAAAGAAAAGUACAUUCACACCAACUACUGAGGAAAGAAAACAAAUCAUUUUUCUACUGCUAAAAGUACUGAAUCACUUACCAUCUGGUUUGGAAGGAAAGAAAAAAAAACCUCAGUCCAAUUCAGCUAUGAAGAAAAUCCUGUCUAAAAAAAGUAAUCACAUGCUAGAUCCCUCUAAGUUCAAUUUCCAAUCAUUUUAACAUGGAGAGUUCUGUUUUCUAGGACAAAAACAAAAAAAUCCCACCAAAACCAAACCAAACCAAACAAACCCCACAAACAAAAAAAUGACAAAACUAAAAUACCCCACUACCCCCACCUCCACCCAAAAAAAAAAAAAAAACAGUAAGAAAUAGGUGUGGCUUGUUAGGCCCUGAUCCUGCAAGCUCUAAAUGCUUAGCUACAGGGAAUAGCGGAAGCUAUUUUUCAGGAAAAAGCUGAGUCUCUGCAUCAGUUUCUGCUGGAAUGCAUCCUAAUUUUCCAAGACAAAUCUGCCAUGCUUGCCAUCAUGCUGCAAAAUGCAGAAUUUAAAUCUAGAUACUAAAUAUCUGAACUAAUUUCCUUUUAUGCCUUGGUAAUUUGAGGGAUUUUUCCUCACUCAUCUGAAGAUGCACCUAUGCACACUGCAGCAUAGUGCAGAAGCAGUGUUACUGACAACUGCAUUAUUGACUGAUAAAGAACAUGUGGUCAUAUAAAUACUCCGAGUGCUAGAGCACAACCAGCAAAGGUCAUGUUUAUAGCUCUGGUAAGCAUUGCCAUUUCCAAACUUGUGACUUUUCAUUUUGUCCUCAAACACACCAUUAAAAUUAUUUCAUUUUUAAUCUACCCUUCAAAACCUAGCUUACACAUAACACUGAUCUUCCAAAUGCGUUCGUAUGUUCCCUUUAACAGUUGCUCAUCCACAGCUGUACGUCGUGGAGUCAAACUGCCCUGUUCCUCCUUGUUUCAUUCCCUGCACAUUCAAACACCAAUUCACCUCUGUGUGCUGCUUCUCUGGAACAUCCCCCUGACCUCACCCACCAACAUUUCACCCAUACUGGCAUCUCUUCCUUCCUUUUUUCCUCACCAUUUUUCUCUACUGACUAAUCGUCAACAUUUUCUGAUUUGAUGUUCUUGUAUUUAGUAUGUUUGUCUCAGAAGUAGUCAAAUCCUGGUUGAUAACCACAACUCACAGAGAGAUCAAUACUGCUGUGUGUGUGGGCUGCUGUAACAGUCCUGCAGGUCCUGGCCUUUCUCUUCUG
ensembl:lncRNA